GGAAAGGAGCUGCUAAUCAAGUUUGGUCUCUCCUAUACUAUUUGUGUAGAUUACCAUCUCCCACUCCAGUUUUGAAUGAAGUGUCAUCAUUUUUCUACUACAUUCUAAGAUAGGCAAGAGAUGAAUGCGCUUCAUCCAUCUGACAGCCACUGAAAUCCAACCCUUUCACUUGGAACAUCAUGGCAUCAAAGGAAACUACGCCAAAGUGGGUUUUUCCAUCAGCCACUGUGGUUAUUCUCAUUCUUUUUAUGCCAGUUUUGUGCAGCACAUUUAAGGUGAACUGCUCCAAACCAGACACACCGAGCCUGCUGGCAGCUCUGGGCCCCGUCUUUGACCUGAGGGCCAUUCGGCCCGUUCUGGACCAAAGGACAAAAACAAACAUCACUGUGUUUUUUACCCUUUAUGGGAUAUUGG